rnacentral:rRNA from 1 species
CAUCAGAAUAUGACGAAAGGUUUAGCGGUGAAGGAUGGGGAUGCGUCUGAUUAGCUUGUUGGUGAGGUAACGGCUCACCAAGGCGACGAUCAGUAGGGGUUCUGAGAGGAAGGUCCCCCACAUUGGAACUGAGACACGGUCCAAACUCCUACGGGAGGCAGCAGUGAGGAAUAUUGGUCAAUGGGCGAGAGCCUGAACCAGCCAAGUAGCGUGCAGGACGACGGCCCUAUGGGUUGUAAACUGCUUUUAUAUGGGGAUAAAGUGAGUUACGUGUAGCUUAUUGCAGGUACCAUAUGAAUAAGGACCGGCUAAUUCCGUGCCAGCAGCCGCGGUAAUACGGAAGGUCCAGGCGUUAUCCGGAUUUAUUGGGUUUAAAGGGAGCGUAGGCCGCCCCUUAAGCGUGUUGUGAAAUGCCGCGGCUCAACCGUGGCACUGCAGCGCGAACUGGGGGGCUUGAGUGCACGCAACGCAGGCGGAAUUCGUGGUGUAGCGGUGAAAUGCUUAGAUAUCACGAAGAACUCCGAUUGCGAAGGCAGCUUGCGGGAGUGCGACUGACGCUGAAGCUCGAAGGUGCGGGUAUCGAACAGGAUUAGAUACCCUGGUAGUCCGCACAGUAAACGAUGGAUGCCCGCUGUGUGCCCUAGAGGUACGCGGCCAAG